UACGUAGGUGGCGAGCGUUAUCCGGAAUUACUGGGCGUAAAGGGCCCGCAGGCGGCUUCUUAAGUCUGACGUGAAAGCUCCUGGCUUAACUGGGAGAGGUCGUUGGAGACUGGGGGGCUUGAGGCGAUGAGAGGGGUGUGGAAUUCCCGGUGUAGUGGUGGAAUGCGUAGAUAUCGGGAGGAACACCAGUGGCGAAAGCGGCACCCUGGCAUCGGCCUGACGCUGAGGGGCGAAGGCGUGGGGAGCGAACGGGAUUAGAAACCCCUGUAGUCC
rnacentral:rRNA from 1 species